rnacentral:rRNA from 1 species
UGGGUAACCUGCCUCAAAGAGGGGAAUAGCCUCCCGAAAGGGAGAUUAAUACCGCAUAAUAUGUUUAAGUCGCAUGACUUUAACAUCAAAGGAUUUUCUUUUAGAAAUUCCACUUUGAGAUGGACCCGCGGCGCAUUAGCUAGUUGGUGAGGUAACGGCUCACCAAGGCAACGAUGCGUAGCCGACCUGAGAGGGUNAUCGGCCACAUUGGGACUGAGACACGGUCCAGACUCCGUAGGNG